rnacentral:rRNA from 1 species
UUCGACACACUAUCAUUAACUGAAUCCAUAGGUUAAUGAGGCGAACCGGGAGAACUGAAACAUCUAAGUACCCCGAGGAAAAGAAAUCAACCGAGAUUCCCCCAGUAGCGGCGAGCGAACGGGGAGCAGCCCAGAGCCUGAAUCAGUGUGUGUGUUAGUGGAAGCGUCUGGAAAGGCGCGCGAUACAGGGUGACAGCCCCGUACACAAAAAUGCACAUACUGUGAGCUCGAUGAGUAGGGCGGGACACGUGGUAUCCUGUCUGAAUAUGGGGGGACCAUCCUCCAAGGCUAAAUACUCCUGACUGACCGAUAGUGAACCAGUACCGUGAGGGAAAGGCGAAAAGAACCCCGGCGAGGGGAGUGAAAAAGAACCUGAAACCGUGUACGUACAAGCAGUGGGAGCACGCUUCGGCGUGUGACUGCGUACCUUUUGUAUAAUGGGUCAGCGACUUAUAUUCUGUAGCAAGGUUAACCGAAUAGGGGAGCCGAAGGGAAACCGAGUCUUAACUGGGCGUUAAGUUGCAGGGUAUAGACCCGAAACCCGGUGAUCUAGCCAUGGGCAGGUUGAAGGUUGGGUAACACUAACUGGAGGACCGAACCGACUAAUGUUGAAAAAUUAGCGGAUGACUUGUGGCUGGGGGUGAAAGGCCAAUCAAACCGGGAGAUAGCUGGUUCUCCCCGAAAGCUAUUUAGGUAGCGCCUCGUGAAUUCAUCUCCGGGGGUAGAGCACUGUUUCGGCAAGGGGGUCAUCCCGACUUACCAACCCGAUGCAAACU